CGUGCGUUUUGCCUUCGUCGUCGCGCUGCAGCGUUUCAAUCGAAUGUGAUCGUGAGGAAUAGUGAUUCAGGCGCGUGUACGUUACCAACUCGUUGCGUUUAUCUUGCGUCGCGUUUCGGUUUGAUUUCAACGAUUUUGACGGACCACGCGAUCGAUUCCUGACCGUUGGAUGCAUUUGGUUUUUCUGUUUGAUCGUGGGAUAGCGUAUGUACCCGUUUUUUGUUGGGUUAUCGAAGAGGUGCGUGCAGUUGACCGUUGGGCGGUUGGUUUAGAGGGCUCCGGCUUUUUGGCGAUAGCUCCCUUUAGUGUGCGUGCUUGUGUCGAUGCUCCAGAAAGUGAUCCAGUCCAAAAAGGGGUGCCAUGCGAAAAAAAUAAAUAGUAGUGAUUCGUGGCGUGCAGCAACCGAAUAAAGUAUAAAUAAUAAUAUCCGUUCAUGAAACGGUUCUAAAAAUAGUUUGGAGUGAUUUUCGGUGUUCUUGCUUUGUUCCUCUCGUGUGCAUCCAGUGUGCGUCAGUGUUUUGGAGCCGAUCGAAACUCCGUGACAGACUCGUUGACUGUCGCAUCAACAGAGUUUCUCAAGUUCUUAAUAAAUAAUUACAAGGUGGAGAAUUUUGGAGUCUAUAAUACUGUGUUGUGUUCUCCUCAAUCCAAAAAUUAACAGAUUUCAUACCAUCGGAGCGUAUCCGCGGCUGCUCAAAUUGGCUAGACGUGUUUAUAAAGUUCAUGACAUCUUCCACGGUUGAGAGAGUGCUCCGAGGAGAAAUCCGACAUGACAGCUAUUAAACAUUAAAGAAAAGAACUGCCGCUUCAGGAAAUCUACAGCGACAGCGUCAAAAGAAGAUUCCCCCGAAACGAAGUGAACUCCCUCCUGGCAGCGAGCAUCGGCCGGGAAGAGAAAAAAAAAGUUUUGGAAAUCAUCCAGCAGAGUAAACAUAAACAAAAGAAACAUAAACCAUUUGACUCGUGUGAUGAAUUUUGAAGAGCGAGUCAGAUAGAAUCGAAAUUCCAUAUUCGAUGGCAAGCCACACAUUUCCUCUAAGCUACUUCUUCGUUCGGUGUGAAAGAUAAACAACUGUUUCCAUCCCCGUAAUAGUAGAUAUAGCCGCCAUAAGCUAACGUCAUCAGUUUCUACUUAGCACCGACCACCCGCCGCCCCCUCAACGACUCAAAGCAAAUCUAUACUCUGCAUCGUUAGUGUAAUUGUGUACAUGUGAAUGUUGAUAAAAGUUAUGAAAAUAUAAUAUUUGUAGAAAAUCGAAACCGCAACCCGUUCGGGAAAUUAGCUCCGCGGCCAAUGUAUUCCACAUACCAGUAGACGUUGUUCAACGAAGCAAACAGCCCCUCCGCCAACAGCAAAGAGUUUUAUAAAUGUGUGCAAUAGAAGAAUAAUUCAUUCCACUUGAUGACGCAUAGCAUGUAGAAGUAAAAGUUUUUAAGCAAAAAUAUAAUCGAUAAGUGUUAGCUCGUCUGUUUUUUGAAGAGAGAAAAGUUCAGCCAAAAUCGUCAAGUGUUUCCAGCGAUAUAAGAAGAAAUCAACUAGAACUAGUGUUUUUUCUAACUACGAAGAAAUUGAAGCGAAUAAGAGAAGAGUGAAAUUUAUUGCUCAACAAAAUCAUCAUACAUCCUUGAAGUGAUUUAUUGGGAAAAUUUUAGCCGAGAGCAUCACAAGUAAUCCGGUAAAGUGUGUAUCGAGUAAAAGUGUGCCAGCCAGAGAGCGUUACCCUAGUUUUUACCACCCGAAGUGAAUAGUGAAAGCGAAGAAUAAAAGUUUGGCUCAAUAUCCAAAGGUGUGAAUAACGUCACACAGCUCAAUUCUUUUUCCUGUUC